rnacentral:rRNA from 1 species
UACGUAGGGUCCGAGCGUUGUCCGGAAUUACUGGGCGUAAAGAGCUCGUAGGUGGUUUGUCGCGUUGUUCGUGAAAACUCACAGCUUAACUGUGGGCGUGCGGGCGAUACGGGCAGACUUGAGUACUGCAGGGGAGACUGGAAUUCCUGGUGUAGCGGUGGAAUGCGCAGAUAUCAGGAGGAACACCGGUGGCGAAGGCGGGGUCUCUGGGGCAGUAACUGACGCUGAGGAGCGAAAAGCGUGGGGGAGCGAACAGG